rnacentral:rRNA from 1 species
GACGAACGCUGGCGGCGUGCUUAACACAUGCAAGUCGAACGGAAAGGCCCGGCUUUUGUGGGGUGCUCGAGUGGCGAACGCGUGAGUAACACGUGAGUAACCCGCCCUUGUCUUUGGGAUAACUCCAGGAAACUCGGGCUAAUACCGGAUAGGAGCUCCUGCUGCAUGGUGGGGGUUGGAAAGUUUCGGCGGUUGGGGAUGGACUCGCGGCUUAUCAGCUUCUUGGUGGGGUAGUGGCUUACGAAGGCUUUGACGGGUAGCCGGCAUGAGAGGGUGACCGGCCACAUUGGGCCUGCGAUACGGCCCAGAAUCCAACGGGAGGCAGCAGUGGGGAAUCUUGCAGAAUGGGGCGAAGCCUGAUGCAGCAACGCCGCGUGCGGGAUGCCGGCCUUCGGGUUGUAAACCGCUUUCGCCUGUGACGAGGCGUGAGUGACGGUAAUGGGUAAAGAAGCACCGGCUAACUACGUG